rnacentral:lncRNA from 1 species
UAUGGUGUUAUUCAUUGAUUCUUGCUACCAAUUUCUAAUUCUCGGUAUGUUUCUUCAACUUUUAUUUUCAAUGUCAUUUAGAAUUUUAUUGUAAUUUUUUUUCGAUUUACAAACCCUAAAUCGAUUUUUUUAUAUAUUUGAAGAUCCUAGCCUGAUUACUUCUCUGUUUGAUUCUUCAAAAUGCUCUAAUCAUCCAAGAAGUCGGCCUCUAAGCAUCAGCUACCAAAUCAACCCGAAAAAAAGGUUAUCUGAAGUUGACGAGUCACCGGUGUCUGUUGUAGUUGUUUUGCUUUGUUGCCUGCAUUACUCAUUGCACUAGGUAUUUCGUUACAGUUUAAUCUAAGUAUUUGGGAUUACCCUACCUGGUUCGGAGGAGGUGUCAAACUGAAUGGCGGAGAAUACUAUGUCGAGUCUGGUCAACUAGGUUGCAUAUAGUCACUGAGUCGUCUUCGAAUCAAUAAGGCAUGUUUUGACUUUGAACAUUCAAGAUGGCGUGAUAUUAAGUUACGCGCUUCUGAUGAUGCAAAGCAUUGAACUUUUGUUGACCCGGAGGGCGAUGAACGUCUGUUGCUAUUGCGUAUAGAUUAAGAAUUGAAGCUAAUCUCAUCGGCAACAUUCUGGCGCUUCUGCUUCUAGCCACCAUUGUUUGACGGUAUGUUUCUUUUAUUUAAUUUUUUAGCAAUGAAAUUUAGGGUUAUAACUGAUUAAUUCAAUUGUUGUGUUCACUUCUUUCAAAAUUUUGUCAUUUGAUAUGUCUGUGAAGCGUUCUCUACUGUAGUUGAAUGUUUUCUUAGUGAAUUCAUGAUAACGAUUUCUUUUAGUUUCUCAUUUGGGUCACCUAAUCGUCUUUUUUGAAGGAUGGUCUCAUGUUUGGUUAAUUCAUUUUCUUUUAUAAGGGACUUAAAAAGUGCAUCAAUUGACUACUUGAAGUUAUUAGAAACAAACUGUUUGUUUCAUUCAUAGACACAUAACAUUUUGAAAAAUAUGAGAAUACAGCAUGGUAAAAUAUGAGAUACAGAAGAAAAAGAUUUCCCCCAAUUUUAUUACUUUUGAAACACAUGUCCAAACAUCCACUACAGAUUUCAUAAUUUGGUUAUCUCUUAACUAAUUUUUCAAUAUUUUAUUUAUCAAGUUAUUUUUGGUUGCAAAUAGGUGACAACUUUAAUUCUUCUUUAAUUGUUAUUGUCUAUGUGGACCAUGAUAUGCUCAAAGCAUGGCUGCUAAGGAAGGAAUAGGGUGAUGAAAUUUAUAUUUAUUUAUCUGGUAAUAUAGCUCAUAUGUAUCUGAAAGGUUACAAAUUAUAUUUCUUUUUACCUUUUAUAUUUAUAAGUUAUUCUAUGAAAGUAUGAGUUACAAUAUAGUUUGAAAGUUUGGAACAAGUGAACAACUAUGCAAUGACCCGUUGUUCGAUAUGGAUGCUACUGGAAAUGAAGCUCAGAUCAAAGACGAGCAAACAAGGACGAUUUUGGUGGAAAAGUUGAGAUCUAAUAAUUGCUAAAGCAAUGUUAAUUUUCUCGUAUUUGGUAAUAAUCUUUGUACUAUUGUAUUGGUUUGUACUAUGCUUAUUUGGUUGUAACCAACUAGAAUAUAUUAAAGAAUGAAUGCCUAAAGAUAAGCAU